rnacentral:rRNA from 1 species
UGUAACAAGGUCUCCGUUGGUGAACCAGCGGAGGGAUCAUUACAAGAAGCCGAAAGGCUACUUCAAACCAUUGCGAACUCGUCCAAGUUGCUUCGGCGGCGCGGCUCCCCCUAACGGGGGCGCCGCAGCCCUGCCUCUCCGGAGGUUCGGGGCGCCCGCCGGAGGUACGAAACUCUGUAUUAUAGUGGCAUCUCUGAGUAAAAAGCAAAUAAGUUAAAACUUUCAACAACGGAUCUCUUGGUUCUGGCAUCGAUGAAGAACGCAGCGAAAUGCGAUAAGUAAUGUGAAUUGCAGAAUUCAGUGAAUCAUCGAAUCUUUGAACGCACAUUGCGCCCGGUAGUACUCUACCGGGCAUGCCUGUUCGAGCGUCAUUUCAACCCUCAAGCCCUGCUUGGUGUUGGGGCCCUACGGCUGCCGUAGGCCCUGAAAGGAAGUGGCGGGCUCGCUACAACUCCGAGCGUAGUAAUUCAUUAUCUCGCUAGGGAGGUUGCGGCGUGCUCCUGCCGUUAAAGACCCAUCUUUAACCAAGGUGACCUCGGAUCAGGUAG